UGAGGAAUAUUGGUCAAUGGGCGAGAGUCUGAACCAGCCAAGUAGCGUGCAGGAUGACGGCCCUAUGGGUUGUAAACUGCUUUUAUAAGGGAAUAAAGUGAGUCUCGUGAGACUUUUUGCAUGUACCUUAUGAAUAAGGACCGGCUAAUUCCGUGCCAGCAGCCGCGGUAAUACGGAAGGUCCGGGCGUUAUCCGGAUUUAUUGGGUUUAAAGGGAGCGUAGGCCGGAGAUUAAGCGUGUUGUGAAAUGUAGACGCUCAACGUCUGCACUGCAGCGCGAACUGGUUUCCUUGAGUACGCACAAAGUGGGCGGAAUUCGUGGUGUAGCGGUGAAAUGCUUAGAUAUCACGAAGAACUCCGAUUGCGAAGGCAGCUCACUGGAGCGCAACUGACGCUGAAGCUCGAAAGUGCGGGUAUCGAACAGGAUUAGAUACCCUGGUAGUCCGCACGGUAAACGAUGGAUGCCCGCUGUUGGUCUGAACAGGUCAGCGGCCAAGCGAAAGCAUUAAGCAUCCCACCUGGGGAGUACGCCGGCAACGGUGAAACUCAAAGGAAUUGACGGGGGCCCGCACAAGCGGAGGAACAUGUGGUUUAAUUCGAUGAUACGCGAGGAACCUUACCCGGGCUUGAAUUGCAGAGGAAGGAUUUGGAGACAAUGACGCCCUUCGGGGCCUCUGUGAAGGUGCUGCAUGGUUGUCGUCAGCUCGUGCCGUGAGGUGUCGGCUUAAGUGCCAUAACGAGCGCAACCCCUCUCCUUAGUUGCCAUCAGGUUAAGCUGGGCACUCUGGGGACACUGCCACCGUAAGGUGUGAGGAAGGUGGGGAUGACGUCAAAUCAGCACGGCCCUUACGUCCGGGGCUACACACGUGUUACAAUGGCAGGUACAGAGAGACGGUCCCUUGCAAAAUGGAUCAAAUCCUUAAAGCCUGUCUCAGUUCGGACUGGGGUCUGCAACCCGACCCCACGAAGCUGGAUUCGCUAGUAAUCGCGCAUCAGCCAUGGCGCGGUGAAUACGUUCCC
rnacentral:rRNA from 1 species